AGUGAACGCUGGCGGUAGGCCUAACACAUGCAAGUCGAACGGCAGCACAGUAAGAGCUUGCUCUUACGGGUGGCGAGUGGCGGACGGGUGAGGAAUACAUCGGAAUCUACUUUUUCGUGGGGGAUAACGUAGGGAAACUUACGCUAAUACCGCAUACGACCUACGGGUGAAAGCAGGGGAUCUUCGGACCUUGCGCGAUUGAAUGAGCCGAUGUCGGAUUAGCUAGUUGGCGGGGUAAAGGCCCACCAAGGCGACGAUCCGUAGCUGGUCUGAGAGGAUGAUCAGCCACACUGGAACUGAGACACGGUCCAGACUCCUACGGGAGGCAGCAGUGGGGAAUAUUGGACAAUGGGCGCAAGCCUUAUCCAGCCAUACCGCGUGGGUGAAGAAGGCCUGCGGGUUGUAAAGCCCUUUUGUUGGGAAAGAAAAGCAGCAGGUUAAUACCCCGCUGUUCGGACGGUACCCAAAGAAUAAGCACCGGCUAACUUCGG
rnacentral:rRNA from 1 species